AUUGAACGCUGGCGGCAGGCCUAACACACGCAAGUCGAGCGGAUGAAGGGAGCUUGCUCCUGGAUUCAGCGGCGGACGGGUGAGUAAUGCCUAGGAAUCUGCCUGGUAGUGGGGGAUAACGUCCGGAAACGGGCGCUAAUACCGCAUACGUCCUGAGGGAGAAAGUGGGGGAUCUUCGGACCUCACGCUAUCAGAUGAGCCUAGGUCGGAUUAGCUAGUUGGUGGGGUAAAGGCCUACCAAGGCGACGAUCCGUAACUGGUCUGAGAGGAUGAUCAGUCACACUGGAACUGAGACACGGUCCAGACUCCUACGGGAGGCAGCAGUGGGGAAUAUUGGACAAUGGGCGAAAGCCUGAUCCAGCCAUGCCGCGUGUGUGAAGAAGGUCUUCGGAUUGUAAAGCACUUUAAGUAGGAGGAAGGGCAGUAAGUUAAUACCUUGCUGUUUUGACGUUACCAACAGAAUAAGCACCGGCUAACUUCGUG
rnacentral:rRNA from 1 species